rnacentral:lncRNA from 1 species
GAUUCCAUCCUGCAUGGCUGUUCUCUGGAGCAGUAGUCAUUUAUCUCCAUCCACCUUCUCUCCCACCUAAGGGUGUGCCACCAUCCCAAGGAAGAUUCGAUGGACAUGGACAUGAGCCCCCUGAGGCCCCAGAGCUAUCUUUUUGGUUGCGAACUAAAGGCCAACAAAGAUGAUCACUUUAAGGUGGAUAAUGAUGAAAAUGAGACCAGUUAUCUUUAGGAACAGUCAGUUUAGGAGCUGGUGCAAAGGAUGAACUGCACAUUGUUGAAGCAGAAACAAUGAAUUAUGAAGACAGUCCAAUUAAAGUAAGACUGACAACUUUGAAAAUGUCUGUACAGUCAACGGUUUCCCUUGGGGACUUUGAAAUAACACCACCAGUGGUCUUAUGGUUGAAGCUUGGUUCGGGGCCAGUGCAUAUUAGUGGACAGCACUUAGUAGCUGUGGAGGAAGCUGCAGAAUCAGAAGACGAAGAGAAGGAGGAUGUGAAACUCUUAAGUAUAUCUGGAAAGUGAUGCCCCUGGAGGUGGUAGCAAGGUUCCACAGAAACAAGUAAAACUUGCCGCUGAUGAAGAAGAAUAAGAAGGAGAAGGAGAAGAAGGAAGAAGAAGAUUUUGAUGAUGAGGAUAUUGAAGAAAAAGCACCGGUGAAGAAAUCUAUAAAGAUGCUCCAGCCGAAAAUGCACAGAAGUCAAAUCAGAAUGGAAAAGACUCAAAACCGUCAACACCAAGAUCAAAAGGACAAGAAACCUUCAAGAAACAGGAAAAAAAAAAACCUCCUAAAACACCAAAAGGGCCUAGUUCUGUAGAAGACAUUAAAGCAAAAAUGCAAACAAGUAUAGAAAAAGCUGGUUUGUUUCCCAAAAUGGAAGCCAAGUUCGUCAAUUAUGUAAAGAAUUGUCUCUGGAUGAAUGACCAGGAGGCUAUUCAAGAUCUCUGGCAGUGGAGGAAGUCUCUUUAAGAAAAUCGUUUGAACAAUUUGUUAAAAAUUUUCCAUCUUACUUCAUUUCUCUAACAGUUGCUAUCUGGCUGUACUUUUUAUAAUGCAGAGUGAGAACUUUCCCUACCAUGUUUGAUAAAUGUUGUCCAGGUUCCAUUGCCAAGAAUGUGUUGUCCAAAAUGCCUGUUUAGUUUUUAAAGAUGAAAAUCCACCCUUUGCUUGGUUUUAAGUAUGUAUGGAAUGUUAUGAUAGGACAUAGUAGUAGCAGUGGUCAGACAUAGAAAUGGUGGGGAGACAAAAAUAUACAUGUGAAAUAAAAGUCAGUAUUUUA